rnacentral:rRNA from 1 species
AUUGAACGCUGGCGGCAUGCUUUACACAUGCAAGUCGAACGGCAGCACGGGUGCUUGCACCUGGUGGCGAGUGGCGGACGGGUGAGUAAUACAUCGGAACGUGUCCUGAAGUGGGGGAUAACGCAUCGAAAGAUGUGCUAAUACCGCAUAAUCUCUAAGGAGAAAAGUAGGGGAGUCGAAAGACCUUAUGCUUUUGGAGCGGCCGAUGUCUGAUUAGCUAGUUGGUAAGGUAAUGGCUUACCAAGGCGACGAUCAGUAGUUGGUCUGAGAGGACGGCCAGCCACACUGGGACUGAGACACGGCCCAGACUCCUACGGGAGGCAGCAGUGGGGAAUUUUGGACAAUGGGCGCAAGCCUGAUCCAGCAAUGCCGCGUGAGUGAAGAAGGCCUCGGUUGUAAGACUCUUUCUAGUUGUAAAGAAAAAUAAC